GGGGUUGUGGCUUAGAGGUAGAGCACUCGCCUAGCAUGCGUGAGGCAAUGGGUUUGAUCCUCAGCACCA
rnacentral:tRNA from 1 species